GCUAGGUCCUUACCAUCAUGGAUGUCAUGGCUUGGAUUUGGAUGAGCAUCUGUAUCCGCAUCAGGUAAUGCAUUUACCACAGAGGAGCUUCCCAUUAACUGUUCGUAGGAAAAGACAGUUGAAUCAUUCUUUUCCUGGAAGUCACUAAAGUUCCAUCCGGGAUCACCAACCUCCAAACUUGGCAUAACUAGGCGAGCUGAAUCAUGAUUGAAAUCAGAGCUCAAAUCCCCCUCUACAAAAUUAUGCUCCUGCGGAAGAGAACGCAAUUCAACGACCUGCUUGUGCUCCCCGCCAUCAUUGCCUUCAUCCAUCUCAGACCUGAUAAGCUCAUUAAGCUGCCGGAUUACCUCAUCCCUAUGCUUCCCACAAGCUGAAUUCCGAUUCUUCGGCAAGGGAGGCAUCCCCAUAGCUUGGA
rnacentral:misc_RNA from 1 species